rnacentral:rRNA from 1 species
UGAGUACGAGAUGCUACGGCAUCGAAGCAGUCUAUGUCAUACUUCCAAGAAAAGCUUGCACUGUCAUAAACAAAGAAUGCCUGUACCAUAACCGACACAGGUGGGUAGGUAGAGUAUACUAAGGGGCGCGAGAUAACUCUCUCUAAGGAACUCGGCAAAAUAACUCCGUAACUUCGGGAGAAGGAGUGCCUUAUUCUUAAGGUUGCAAUAACAAGAUCCAAGCAACUGUUUAUCAAAAACACAGGUCUCCGCUAAGUCGCAAGACGAUGUAUGGGGGCUGACGCCUGCCCAGUGCCAGAAGGUUAAAGAAGUUGGUUAGCUUUUGCGAAGCUGAUAACUGAAGCCCUGGUGAACGGCGGCCGUAACUAUAACGGUCCUAAGGUAGCGAAAUUCCUUGUCGGGUAAGUUCCGACCCGCACGAAAGGCGUAAUGAUUUGGAUACUGUCUCGGAGAGGGGCUCGGUGAAAUAGACUUGUCUGUGAAGAUGCGGACUACCUGCACCAGGACAGAAAGACCCUAUGAAGCUUUACUGUAACUUGAAAUUGAAAUUGGACUUUAUUCGCGCAGUAUAGGUGGGAGGCGUUGAUUGUAAUCUUGCGGGAUUAUUGGAGCCAUCAGUGAGAUACCACUCUUGUAAUGUUAGAUUUCUAACUUUGUAUCAUUAUCUGGUCAAAGAACAGUUUCAGGCGGGCAGUUUGACUGGGGCGGUCGCCUCCUAAACGGUAACGGAGGCGUACAAAGGUUUCCUCUGAACGGUUAGAAAUCGUAUCUAGAGUGUAAAGGCAUAAGGAAGCUUGACUGUGAGACCUACAAGUCGAGCAGGGACGAAAGUCGGUCUUAGUGAUCUGACGGUACUGAGUGGAAAGGCCGUCACUCAACGGAUAAAAGUUACUCUAGGAUAACAGGCUGAUCUCCCCCAAGAGUUCACAUCGACGGGGAGGUUUGGCACCUCGAUGUCGGCUCAUCGCAUCCUGGGGCGGUAGUACGUCCCAAGGGUUGGGCUGUUCGCCCAUGAAAGCGGUACGCGAGCUGGGUUCAGAACGUCGUGAGACAGUUCGGUCCAUAUCCGGUGUAGGCGUUAGAAUAUUGAGAGGAGCCUUCUUUAGUACGAGAGGACCGAGAAGGACAUACCUCUGGUGUACCAGUUAUCGUGCCAACGGUAAACGCUGGGUAGCUAUGUAUGGAGUGGAUAACCGCUGAAAGCAUCUAAGUGGGAAGCCCACCUCAAGAUAAGUAUUCUC